CUUUCAGUUCCUCUCUGCCAGCUGGGAAGCAGGUUGCAUGUCGGCAGGUUUCCUGGAUUCUCCUGGAUAAUGUGGUCUCACCAGCUCAUCCUGGAAGUGAGUGCACCCAUCACAUGGCCAUUUGCUGGAGCUGCUGGAGGCUGGAGCUUGCUUGCUGGCUUGUUGUUGUUGUUGUCCCCAGGAGCCAAGGCUAGCUUCUCAAUCAGGAUCCACCCCCACCCCUUUUACGUGGGGCUUGUAAAGAGGAAGGCUUUGCAAGG